rnacentral:rRNA from 1 species
UGGGGAAUAUUUCACAAUGGAGGGAACUCUGAUGCAGCGACGCCGCGUGAGUGAUGAAGGAAUUCGUUUCGUAAAACUCUGUUCUAUGGGAAGAAAAGGACUGUACCAUAGGAGAAAGCUCCGGCUAAAUACGUGCCAGCAGCCGCGGUAAUACGUAUGGAGCGAGCGUUGUCCGGAAUUAUUGGGCGUAAAGGGUGCGCAGGCGGCUUUACAAGUUGGAUGUGAAAUAUUGUGGCUCAACCACAAACGUGCAUCCAAAACUGCAAAGCUUGAGUUAAGGAGAGGUAAGUGGAAUUCCUGGUGUAGCGGUGGAAUGCGUAGAUAUCAGGAGGAAUACCGGUGGCGAAGGCGACUUACUGGACUUAAACGGACGCUCAGGCACGAAAGCGUGGGGAGCAAACAGG